CUCAAGGCGCUUUAUAUUGUAAGGUAGACCCUACAAUAAUACAUACAGAGACAAAGCCAACAAUCAUAUGACCCUUUAUGAGCAAGCACUUUGGCGACAGUGGGAAGGAAAAACUCCCUUUUAACAGGAAGAAACCUCCGACAGAACCAGGCUCAGGGAGGGGCGGGGCCAUCUGCUGUGACCGGUUGGUGUGAGAGAAGGAAAACAGGAUAAAAGACACACUGUGGAAGGAAUAGUCGAAAUAGUUCAAACAUAAGUGAUCCUCUCUUUCUGGAAUGUUUGAAUUUCUCUGACCAGAAGGACAACGCAGACUUUGCUCACUUCAUGUACCAGACACAGAUGCUGAAACGUCCACAGGACACAAUCCACACAAACAGGCAUCCUACACUGGUGCUGAGCGAGAGCAGAUAUUAAAGCAAAAGGUAGCUCUCCUGCGGGUUCAGCAACAGUAUUUUUCUCGUUCUCAAAAGGUCCAGGAAAAGGCUCCAAUAGCAGCUAUGAGGUCGCCCAACUCAUCGCAAGACAUGGCGAGCCUUUUUCAGAUGGAGACCUCAUAAAACACGGCCUCGUUAAAGUCACCGAAAUAAUGUGCCCGGAAAAAGUGCAGGACUUCAACAACAUCAGCAUGUCCAGAAAUACAGUUGUGCGACGCAUUGAAGACUCGUCAGCCAACAUUAAACUGCAACUGUCUGAUAAAGCUGUGCUUUUGGUUUUUACUCCAUCGCAUGCGAUCCGAGCACUGAUGUCACAGACACCGCACAGCUGCUAUUUUUUUGGGGGGGAGUGGACGAGAGCACGAGCGCUUUAGAGUACACACCGCUGUGCACAGCGUACGCACACGCAAAGUCAGCUGAUCUCAUCGGAUGAAGAUUUGCUCCUUGAUCAAGUGACACUUGUCCGGAUUUUUGGCACGAGUGGCGUCGGACCAGCACCGCAGCUGGAUGGGCCGAUUUACAUACCCUGCGCAGCUGAUACUCACCAGAAUAAUUUAAUAAAAUUAUAUGCACUCCUGUUAUUAAGUCCAGUUCAGUCUGUUAAUGUUGAUAAUCGUUUCAAACGAACGUUAAUAGGUGUUGUUAAGAGAUUUUUACAUUUACUUACUUUGAUA
ensembl:lncRNA